rnacentral:lncRNA from 1 species
CAGAGUCAGGCCAAACCAGAGCCAAGGGGAAGGGAGCCAAGGGGACUUGGCCAUGGGAGCAGACACACAAGCUGCGCCCUGGAGCUGAUCGAGUCCCUCGCAGGAGAGGGCUGGGCAGAGGAACCACAACGGCCAUGCGGAAGCCACCCAAGAGCGAUCCAAUGUCUCAUCUCUGCCCUCAAUCAUGGCCUCCGCUGAUGCCAAAGUAAACCCAUUCAGCUUCAGGAGGCUUUUCAGCAAACAAAGCAUAAUUUGUAUGACGGAUCUGUGUGUUACAGAGGAUCACAGGCAUUUGAAAUGACACAACUGGAAGCUAAAUCCAACAGCAGGGGAGACCCUUACCAAGGCAAGGUAAGUGGGCUACCCUCGGCCUCCCUUUCCCUGCUGUUGUUUUGGUAGCUGG